ACGCACGCUGGCGGCGUGCUUCACCCCUGCAAGUCGCACGGAAAGGCCCUGCUUUUGUGGGGUGCUCGAGUGGCGAACGGGUGAGUAACACGUGAGUAACCUGCCCUUGACUUUGGGAUAACUUCAGGAAACUGGGGCUAAUACCGGAUAGGAGCUCCUGCUGCAUGGUGGGGGUUGGAAAGUUUCGGCGGUUGGGGAUGGACUCGCGGCUUAUCAGCUUGUUGGUGGGGUAGUGGCUUACCAAGGCUUUUACGGGUAGCCGGCCUGAGAGGGUGACCGGCCACAUUGGGACUGAGAUACGGCCCAGACUCCUACGGGAGGCAGCAGUGGGGAAUAUUGCACAAUGGGCGGAAGCCUGAUGCAGCAACGCCGCGUGCGGGAUGACGGCCUUCGGGUUGUAAACCGCUUUCGCCUGUGACGAAGCGUGAGUGACGGUAAUGGGUAAAGAAGCACCGGCUAACUACGUG
rnacentral:rRNA from 1 species